rnacentral:rRNA from 1 species
UACGUAGGUGGCAGGCGUUGUCCGGAUUUACUGGGCGUAAAGGGCGUGCAGGCGGUCUGUUAAGUUCAGGGUGAAAGCUCCCGGCUCAACUGGGGGAGGUCCUUGGAUACUGGCAGACUUGAGGGAGGUAGAGGAGAGUGGAAUUCCCGGUGUAGUGGUGAUAUGCGUAGAUAUCGGGAGGAACACCAGUGGCGAAGGCGGUUACCUGGAGCUUUGCUGACGCUGAUGCGCGAAAGCGUGGGGAGCGAUCCGG